AUGAUAGACUCCAUAACUUUCCUAAACAAUGAGUUCCAGUACCUCACUGUUCUUGCUAUUAGAAUGGGUCUCCCAGAAGUUCAGCCAGCCUGUCCUGAUGAAGCCAAUUCCCAGGAUGAGGCGGGGAAUUCCCAGAAGAGCUGGAGACCUGGAAGCCUCACUGAGAACUGCGAAGACACAUCCAGCAAGCCUGUCAAAACAGGGGCUGUUCGCACAUAG
rnacentral:lncRNA from 1 species